rnacentral:misc_RNA from 1 species
GAUGAAGAACGUAGCGAAAUGCGAUAAGUAAUGUGAAUUGCAGAAUUCAGUGAAUCAUCGAAUCUUUGAACGCACAUUGCGCCCGCCAGUAUUCUGGCGGGCAUGCCUGUCCGAGCGUCAUUUCAACUCUCGAACCCCUCCGGGGGGUCGGCGUUGGGGAUCGGCCCUGCCUCUUGGCGGUGGCCGUCUCCGAAAUACAGUGGCGGUCUCGCCGCAGCCUCUCCUGCGCAGUAGUUUGCACACUCGCAUCGGGAGCGCGGCGCGUCCACAGCCGUUAAACACCCAACUUCUGAAAUGUUGACCUCGGAUCAGGUAGGAAUACCCGCUGAACUUAAGCAUAUCAAUAAGCGGAGGA